rnacentral:rRNA from 1 species
GAUCUUGGCUCAGGACGAACGCUGGCGGCGCGCCUAACACAUGCAAGUCGAACGGGGUUAUACGGGAUGAAGUUUUCGGAUGGAAUUCUAUAUAACCUAGUGGCGGACGGGUGAGUAACACGUGAGCAACCUGCCUAUCAGAGGGGGAUAACGAUUGGAAACGAUCGCUAAUACAGCAUGACAUAGCGGGAAGCAUCUUCCUGCUAUCAAAGAUUUANCGCUG